UUAAAAAACAAACAGUCACUAUUUAUGAAGAGAAGUCAUUCAGUUAAUUUUCCGGGUUGUACAUUAUCUUUAUCAAACAUCUGUAUAGCCAAUCAUGAAUAUUUACAUACGGAAAUAUACACUACAGGAUUUUGAAGAUGAACCGUACACAUCUACGGAUUCUUUUUAUUGAAACGUUUGCUGAAAAAAAUAUAAUGACUACAAUUAAGUUCGAAAGUCUGGUUAAAUGGGAUCAAAUAUUGAAAACAUGCCACAAUAUCAUAUAUACCUACCAAUUGUCACUAUUUACGCGGAUAAUCCCAAUGGAGGCUCCCAAAUGUUAAUUUUGAAAGAUCCAUUUUCUCCACUAUUUUAAACAAAACAAUCAUUAUUUACAAUAAAAUAUAAAGAAGCCAAAAAACAACAAAAAACAACAAAAAAAAACCAACAAAAAACGACCACAUUAAAAUAUAUUUGAAGGUUUUGUAAGACUAUAAGAGUCAUCUUGCACGUAGACCUCCAUGGGCAUUUUGAAAGUUGGAAGGUAUGCAAUAUCAACAUACAACUUUAAAUUACGUGCAAUCAUUGUUUGAGUUUUCAAUUAUCUGUUGUUGGAAUGGAGAACAUAAAAAGGUGCUGUAUUUUGUACAUAUUGAUGGAGAAGACUAAUUUACAAAGUCUUGAAAAAAAAAACAGUUGACGAAAUUCCAGGGCGCACAGAUCACAUAUACGUGUCAAUUUUCUUCGAAGUUUAAGGGAUCUAGGUUGAAAACUGUAGGAGGAGUCGGUUACACAACAUAGGGAACCAAUUUUUCACCCUUUCACGAAAACAAUAUACCAUCAGAUGGCUAUUAGACUUUUAAAAUUCAUGCAGAAAAGGAGUAAUUUAUUCAGUGAAAUAGAAUUGUAGCCUGAUUAGUAUCAUUAAGGCAUGUACUGUAAAGAGAACAAUGUUUACUUUUUACCACCAUAUAAAGGCUGUAAGUAUGCGAUAUAUUUAUUUGAAAUUCAUCCUUAUUUCAAGAAAUUUACAGGGA
rnacentral:lncRNA from 1 species